GGAGGCCUUAACUUAAUUAAAGUGACUGAUUUGCAGUCAGGUGAUGUAAAUAAAAGUUUUACAGGUCUU
rnacentral:tRNA from 1 species